GCCAUGGCUCAGUGGUAGAGCACCUGCUUUCCAUGCAGAAGGUCCUGGGUUCAAUCCCCAGUAUCUGCA